AACGAACGCUGGCGGCAUGCCUAACACAUGCAAGUCGAACGAGACCUUCGGGUCUAGUGGCGCACGGGUGCGUAACGCGUGGGAACCUGCCCUUAGGUUCGGAAUAACUCCCCGAAAGGGGUGCUAAUACCGGAUAAUGUCUUCGGACAAAAGUCUUAUCGCCUUUGGAUGGGCCCGCGUUGGAUUAGCUAGUUGGUAGGGUAAAAGCCUACCAAGGCGACGAUCCAUAGCUGGUAUGAGAGGAUGAUCAGCCACCCUGGGACUGAGACACGGCCCAGACUCCUACGGUAGGCAGCAGUGGGGAAUAUUGGACAAUGGGCGAAAGCCUGAUCCAGCAAUGCCGCGUGAGUGAUGAAGGCCUUAGGGUUGUAAAGCUCUUUUAACCGGGAUGAUAAUGACAGUACCGGGAGAAUAAGCUCCGGCUAACUCCGUG
rnacentral:rRNA from 1 species